rnacentral:rRNA from 1 species
UACGUAGGGGCAAGCGUUAUCCGGAUUUACUGGGUGUAAAGGGAGCGCAGACGGCAGCGCAAGUCUGAUGUGAAAUCCCGGGGCUCAACCCCGGAACUGCAUUGGAAACUGCGCAGCUCGAGUAUCGGAGAGGUAAGCGGAAUUCCUAGUGUAGCGGUGAAAUGCGUAGAUAUUAGGAGGAACACCGGAGGCGAAGGCGGCUUACUGGACGAAGACUGACGUUGAGGCUCGAAAGCGUGGGGAGCAAACAGGAUUAGAUACCCUGGUAGU